UACGGAGGGAGCUAGCGUUGUUCGGAAUUACUGGGCGUAAAGCGCACGUAGGCGGCUUUGUAAGUUAGAGGUGAAAGCCCGGGGCUCAACCCCGGAACUGCCUUUAAGACUGCAUCGCUUGAAUCCAGGAGAGGUGAGUGGAAUUCCGAGUGUAGAGGUGAAAUUCGUAGAUAUUCGGAAGAACGCCAGUGGCGAAGGCGGCUCACUGGCCUGGUAUUGACGCUGAGGUGCGAAAGCGUGGGGAGCAAACAGG
rnacentral:rRNA from 1 species